rnacentral:rRNA from 1 species
UACGAAGGGGGCUAGCGUUGCUCGGAAUCACUGGGCGUAAAGCGCACGUAGGCGGACUCUUAAGUCGGUGGUGAAAUCCUGGAGCUCAACUCCAGAACUGCCUUCGAUACUGGGAGUCUCGAGUCCGGAAGAGGCGAGUGGAAUUCCCGGUGUAGCGGUGAAAUGCGCAGAUAUCGGGAGGAACACCAAUGGCGAAGGCAGCUCGCUGGGACGGUACUGACGCUGAGACGCGAAAGCGUGGGGAGCAAACAGG